AUUGAACGCUGGCGGCAGGCCUAACACAUGCAAGUCGAUCGUGCGGCGGACGGGUGAGUAAUUUCUGGGAAACUGCCUGAUGGAGUGGGAUAACUCCUGGAAACGGUAGCUAAUACCCCAUCCCCUCAGAUGUUCCCAGAUGGGAUUAGCUAGUGGGUGUGGUAACGGCUCACCUAGGCCACGAUCCCUAGCUGGUCUGAGAGGAUGACCAGCCACACUGGAACUGAGACACGGUCCAGACUCCUACGGGAGGCAGCAGUGGGGAAUAUUGCACAAGGGGCGCAAGCCUGAUGCAGCCAUGCCGCGUGUGUGAAGAAGGCCUUCGGGUUGUAAAGCACUUUCAGCGGGGAGGCGUUACCCGCAGAAGAAGGACAGGCUAACUCCGUGCCAGCAGCCGCGGUAAUAC
rnacentral:rRNA from 1 species